rnacentral:rRNA from 1 species
AGUGAACGCUGGCGGUAGGCCUAACACAUGCAAGUCGAACGGCAGCACAGUAAGAGCUUGCUCUUACGGGUGGCGAGUGGCGGACGGGUGAGGAAUACAUCGGAAUCUACUUUUUCGUGGGGGAUAACGUAGGGAAACUUACGCUAAUACCGCAUACGACCUACGGGUGAAAGCAGGGGAUCUUCGGACCUUGCGCGAUUGAAUGAGCCGAUGUCGGAUUAGCUAGUUGGCGGGGUAAAGGCCCACCAAGGCGACGAUCCGUAGCUGGUCUGAGAGGAUGAUCAGCCACACUGGAACUGAGACACGGUCCAGACUCCUACGGGAGGCAGCAGUGGGGAAUAUUGGUCAAUGGGCGCAAGCCUGAUCCAGCCAUGCCGCGUGGGUGAAGAAGGCCUUCGGGUUGUAAAGCCCUUUUGUUGGGAAAGAAAAGCAGCAGGUUAAUACCCCGCUGUUCUGACGGUACCCAAAGAAUAAGCACCGGCUAACUUCGUG